GACGACUAGCGUUCAAGUGAGCAAGCGGCAUUUUCUUCAUUUCAAAACCGUUUCCUCCUGAAGUUGAAUAGGACUAGCUAACCAGCUAGCUUGCCAUCAAACAGCAUGGACGAGUUAAAUAAUGUGGCUGUGUCUACGUUAAGAGCUGAACAGGCUCUUGAGAUCCUUCGUGUCCUGCCAUCACUGUUUCCAUCCACGUCUGCUCUUCCAAAAAGGGUACAUGAGGCAGUUGAGGCUCUGGUGCACAUCCUCGAGGAAAAAGAGGAUCCUGACACGUACUUAAAGAAGCGCCCUCUCUCCUGUCCAGUCCUGAUUGUGUGUUCAUCCAACUGCCUGCUUGCGGUAGGAGAUGUGCCAGUAACAACAUUUCCCAAAGACAAGCUUGAUGAGGGUGCUUUAUACCUUAUGGCCUACUAUUAUACACUGCAUCUUAACUACCCAAGAUGUGUGGUUACUCUACUCUCAGUCAUACAGACAGAGGUCCUUUUGGACAAAAUCCAUGACAGAGAUCUCACAUCAUCCUAUAAGAACAGCAUGGCUGAAUGGAAGGCUUUUCGUGGCCAGUAAGGUUAAAGGUCAUGUAUGUUAUGUUAUAGUGUUCUCCAUCCCCAUGACCUGAAAAGACUGUUUGAUACUUGUUUGAAUUUGAGCAAGGUUUGCAUUGUGGACACAUUAGCCAAUGUUAUAACUGUAGCCACUUCACUGGCAUUUUUCUGUUUUAAAUAAUGCAGUGAUUUGAAAAAAGUUAUGACUGCUUAACUCAGAGGCUUCUGAACACCUUGUGUUUUUUUUUAGUUAAGAAUUUUUUUAUAGUUAAAAAUUUAUAUUUUGUUAAAGGUGUCUAAAAUAUAAGUAAACUGACUAACCGGUUGUAAAAGGCAGUAUCAGUAUUUGUUCUUACACUGAAUACUGAAUGAAAUGUCAGUGUGACAAAAUAAAUGUGUUCAAGUAAAAGAA